UACGGAGGGGGCUAGCGUUGUUCGGAAUUACUGGGCGUAAAGCGCACGUAGGCGGCUUUGUAAGUUAGAGGUGAAAGCCCAGGGCUUAACUCUGGAAUUGCCUUUAAGACUGCAUCGCUAGAAUCGUGGAGAGGUGAGUGGAAUUCCGAGUGUAGAGGUGAAAUUCGUAGAUAUUCGGAAGAACACCAGUGGCGAAGGCGACUCACUGGACACGUAUUGACGCUGAGGUGCGAAAGCGUGGGGAGCAAACAG
rnacentral:rRNA from 1 species